rnacentral:rRNA from 1 species
AUUGAACGCUGGCGGCAUGCCUUACACAUGCAAGUCGAACGGUAACGGGUCCUUCGGGAUGCCGACGAGUGGCGAACGGGUGAGUAAUAUAUCGGAACGUGCCCAGUAGUGGGGGAUAACUGCUCGAAAGAGCAGCUAAUACCGCAUACGACCUGCGGGUGAAAGGGGGGGAUCGCAAGACCUCUCGCUAUUGGAGCGGCCGUUAUCAGAUUAGCGAGUUGGUGGGGUAAAGGCCUACCAAGGCAACGAUCCGUAGUUGGUCUGAGAGGACGACCAGCCACACUGGGACUGAGACACGGCCCAGACUCCUACGGGAGGCAGCAGUGGGGAAUUUUGGACAAUGGGCGCAAGCCUGAUCCAGCAAUGCCGCGUGCAGGAAGAAGGCCUUCGGGUUGUAAACUGCUUUUGUCAGGGAAGAAAUCUUCUGGGCUAAUACCCCGGGAGGAUGACGGUACCUGAAGAAUAAGCACCGGCUAACUACGUGCCAGCCGCCGCAGUAA